GGUGGCAAGAGAUGUGUGUUCUCCGCAUGAUUGAAGAAGAAGAAGAAGAAGAAGAAAGAAAAUGGAGUUUGAGGGGCUCCUGUCGCAGGAGAGAUAGCGCCUGCAAUGCAUAACGCAGGCGCCAUCCUUCUGCGGCAUGAACCCCUUCAACUCCUUCAUCCAUUCAUGUUUUUUUUCUAUUUUCGCCACUCUAAUUUUCCAUCACCCCGAUUUUUUGUUUUUCUUCUGUGAUUUAGUCAGUAAUCGGCGUAUACCAACAGAAGAGUUUUGAGUUGCUGCUGUUGGUUUGGUCGUUGUCGUCGUCUCCUUCAACGAGUCGCUUUGUUCAUCGCUCUCUUCUCAUCUUGUUUCGUGUAGCAACAACGUAAGCAUCUCUCUGUAAGUGCUCUUUUCCCCUUGUUUCUUCACUUCCUAUCUUGUAAUUCGCACGCAAGAUCGUAUCUCAUCAGAACCAAAACCAAAGCUCCAGACGUGGGUCUCUGAUUUCCUCUCCAUGUUGAGUUGCUGCUGUUGGUUUCGUCAUCGUCUUCGUCUUCGUCUCUUUCAAUGAGUCGCUUUGUUCAUGGCUCUCUUCUCAUCUUGUUUCGUGUAGCAACAACGAAAGCGUCUGUCUGUAAGUGCUCUUUUCCCUUCGUUUCUUCGCUUCCUGUCUGUAUUUCACACGCAGGAUCGUAUCUCAUCAGAACCAAAACCAAAGCACCAGACGUGGGUCUCUGUUUUCCUCUACAUGUUGAGUUGCUGCUGUUGGUUUAGUGGUCGUCGUCGUCUCCUUCAACGAGUCGCUUUGUUCAUGGCUCUCUUCUCAUCCUGUUUCGUGUAGCGACGAUGUAAGCGUCUCUCUGUAAGUGCUCUUUUCCCCUUGUUUCUUCGUUUCCUGUCUUGUAUUUCGCACGCAAGAUCGUAUCUCAUCAGAACCAAAACCAAAGCUCCAGCCGUGGGUCUCUGUUUUCCUCUCCAUGUUGAGAUGCUGCUGUUGGUUUGGUCGUCGUCGUCGUCUCCUUCAACGAGUCGCUUUGUUCAUGGGUCUCUCCCCAUCCUGUUUCGUGUCGCGACAAUGUAAGCGUCUCUCCAAAAAAGGAUUAGGUUUUAUGGCAUGCGUCCAUCAGAAUUCUGAGCACAGCUUCAAAGGAUCCAAUACUUUGAGGCCUGAGAAUCAGGUGAGGAAGAAGAAGAAGAAGAAGAUGCCCUCGUUGACCCGUCAUCGUCGUGCCGACAAUGAAACGGAUCCGGUGAGUCUGAUGCGCAAUCGAAGUAUGAAACGAUUUUCGAUCGGAGAUGGCUAUUUUUGACUUGUCCAAGAUCGAGGAAGCGCCAUCUUACUCUUGGAGAAACUUUUUGAAAAUUCAACUGAAAGUGACAGAAGGAUUCAAGUCGUUGUCGAAUAUUCUUGCAGAGCAGGAAGUAACGAAAAGUUCAACCUAGUGUGCAAUGUGGGGGGGAGGGUUUGUGAAAACCUUGUUUUAGUAAGGUUUUAAUAUAAUUGUUUGAAAGUUGGGCACCUUUUGAGGUGUCUAAACAUUAUUAUGGCAUGGAAAAGCAGGAGAAGUUAUUGCUCAAGCCUAUUUUUUCCCCUCUUUCGGUAGACUAAGUCUGCAAGAUUGAACAAGUAAAUUAUUGGUUUGAUGUGUACACAUUAGACUCCGUCAAAAACACUAUCACUAUCCCUAUAAACAUACA